UACCUGGUUGAUCCUGCCAGUAGUCAUAUGCUUGUCUCAAAGAUUAAGCCAUGCAUGUCUAAGUACAUACUGUUUAUAAAGUGAAACCGCGAAUGGCUCAUUAAAUCAGUUACGGUUCCUCGGAUAUUCUUUUUUACAUGGAUAACUGUGGUAAUUCUAGAGCUAAUACAUGAACAAGUGUUCCAACCUCAGCUUGCUGACGGAAGGAUCGCAUUUAUUAGUACAAGACCAAUGAUUCUUAUUCACCUAGAACCCUGUUCAGUGAUUUCGGUCGCUGUCUAAGGACUAGCAGUGGGGAUCUUAGCAACUUCGGUUGCAUUUCUUGUGAUGACUCUGAAUAACUGAGCAAAUCGUAUGGCCUCUGAGCCGACGAUGUAUCCCUCAAGCAACUGCCUUAUCAACUGUCGAUGGUAGGUUAUGCGCCUACCAUGGUUGUAACGGGUAACGGGGAAUUAGGGUUCGAUUCCGGAGAGGGAGCCUGAGAAACGGCUACCACAUCUAAGGAAGGCAGCAGGCGCGCAAAUUACACAAUCCCAGUACGGGGAUGUAGUGACGAAAAAUAACAAUACGGGACUCUAUUGAGGCCCCGUAAUUGGAAUGAGUACAAUUUAAAUCCUUUAACGAGGAUCUAUUGGAGGGCAAGUCUGGUGCCAGCAGCCGCGGUAAUUCCAGCUCCAAUAGCGUAUAUUAAAGUUGCUGCGGUUAAAAAGCUCGUAGUUGGAUUUCAGUCGAACCUAUGGGGUCCACUGAUUAAAGGGUUAGAUGGUGAUGUUAGGUUUCUUGCUUGUGUCUACGGAUGCUUGCUUGAACCUUCAUUCCUCUUUCCUGGUGGUUACAUUCAUAGUGUUUAGACAGAAAAUUGCUCGAUAUUUGCUAUCAAUGCUCUUUACCGAGUGUUGAUUCAAGCGAUCGAGACUUUUACCUUGAAAAAAUCAGAGUGCUCAAAGCAGGCGUCCAAAACCUCGAAAGAGGUGCCUAAAAACGGUAUGGUCAACCAUCUAUAUGAUGCGUACCACUACCUUAACUUGAAUGAUCUUGCAUGGAAUAAUGGAAUAGGACCUUGGUUCUAUUUUGUUGGUCUUAAGAAUCCAAGGUAAUGAUUAAGAGGGACAGACGGGGGCAUUUGUAUUGCGGCGCUAGAGGUGAAAUUCUUGGACCGUCGCAAGACAAACUACAGCGAAAGCAUUUGCCAAGAAUGUUUUCAUUAAUCAAGAACGAAAGUUAGAGGUUCGAAGGCGAUCAGAUACCGCCCUAGUUCUAACCAUAAACGAUGCCAACCAGCGAUCAUUCUGAGUAACUAAUUUCAUGACUCGAAUGGAAGCUUCCGGGAAACCAAAGUUUUUGGGUUCCGGGGGAAGUAUGGUUGCAAAGCUGAAACUUAAAGGAAUUGACGGAAGGGCACCACCAGGAGUGGAGCUUGCGGCUUAAUUUGACUCAACACGGGAAAACUCACCCGGCCCGGACACUGAGAGGAUUGACAGAUUGAGAGCUCUUUCUUGAUUCAGUGGGUGGUGGUGCAUGGCCGUUCUUAGUUGGUGGAGUGAUUUGUCUGGUUAAUUCCGAUAACGAACGAGACUCUAGCCUACUAAAUAGACUUGCAGUUUACACUGCAGUACUCCCCCUUAGUCAACCUGUGGGUGGUAGUAUCUCUUGAUGGUUUCGGCUGUUGAGGGCUCUGCUGCUAUUAGCCUACAGAAUUGGCUAGGGUAAGGAUGCUGUAGCACUGUAAGGACUUCUUAGAGGGACAAGCGGCGCUCGCAGCCGCACGAAACAGAGCAAUAACAGGUCUGUGAUGCCCUUAGAUGUCCGGGGCCGCACGCGUGCUACACUGAAGUGGUCAUCGUGCAUACUGUUUCCUGCUCCGAAAGGAGUGGGUAACCGCUUGAACCCAUUUCGUGAUGGGGAUUGGGCAUUGUAAUUAUUGCCCAUGAACGAGGAAUUCCCAGUAAGCGUGAGUCAUUAGCUUGCGUUGAUUACGUCCCUGCCCUUUGUACACACCGCCCGUCGCUACUACCGAUUGAAUGAUUUAGUGAGGACUUCGGACUGGUCAAUCCAGACCAUUGGGAAACUAGUGGUCGGAUUGUGCUGGAAAGAUGUUCAAACUUGAUCAUUUAGAGGAAGUAAAAGUCGUAACAAGGUUUCCGUAGGUGAACCUGCGGAAGGAUCAUUA
rfam:Tetranychus urticae London genomic scaffold, scaffold_42